rnacentral:rRNA from 1 species
GUGAGGAAUUUUGCGCAAUGGCCGCAAGGCUGACGCAGCAACGCCGCGUGGGUGAUGAAGGCCUUCGGGUCGUAAAGCCCUGUCAGGUGGGAAGAAAGGCCUGGAGAGGAAAGGUUUCAGGUUUGACGGUACCACCAGAGGAAGCACCGGCUAACUCCGUGCCAGCAGCCGCGGUAAUACGGAGGGUGCGAGCGUUAUUCGGAAUUACUGGGCGUAAAGCGCGUGUAGGCGGGGGGACAAGUCUGAUGUGAAAGCCCUGGGCUUAACCUGGGAAGCGCAUUGGGACCUGUUUUUCUUGAGUACUGGAGAGGAAGGGGGAAUUCCCGGUGUAGAGGUGAAAUUCGUAGAGAUCGGGAGGAAUACCAGUGGCGUAGGCGCCCUUCUGGACGGUAACUGACGCUGAGACGCGAAAGCGUGGGGAGCAAACAGGAUUAGAAACCCCUGUAGUCC